rnacentral:rRNA from 1 species
AACGAACGCUGGCGGCAUGCCUAACACAUGCAAGUCGAACGAGACCUUCGGGUCUAGUGGCGCACGGGUGCGUAACGCGUGGGAACCUGCCCUUAGGUUCGGAAUCACUCCCCGAAAGGGGUGCUAAUACCGGAUAAUGUCUUCGGACCAAAGAUUUAUCGCCUUUGGAUGGGCCCGCGUGGGAUUAGCUAGUUGGUAGGGUAAAAGCCUACCAAGGCGACGAUCCAUAGCUGGUCUGAGAGGAUGAUCAGCCACACUGGGACUGAGACACGGCGCAGACUCCUACGGGAGGCAGCAGUGGGGAAUAUUGGACAAUGGGCGAAAGCCUGAUCCAGCAAUGCCGCGUGAGUGAUGAAGGCCUUAGGGUUGUAAAGCUCUUUUACCCGGGAUGAUAAUGACAGUACCGGGAGAAUAAGCUCCGGCUAACUCCGUG